UCGCGUCGUGUUUAGACACGUUACGUCAUCCGUUCCGGUUAUUCACAUACGCCGCCCGACCACGGCGGGUUCGCCAGACUCGUUUUUAUCGCGGGCCUACCGGGGGGGGGGCUUGGUCCUGCGACCCUACGAUUACCGCGUGUAAGUAUCAAUAACAUUAAAAUCCUGACCGUAUCGGUUAGGAAAACGCGAAUUUAUCCGAUAAUAUUGU